AGCAUAAGGAAGUUCCCAGGCUAGGGGUCGAAUCGGAGCUACAGCUGAUGGCCACAGCCACAGCCACAGCAAUGCGGAAUCCAAGCCACUUCUGCAACCUACAUCACAGCUCACAGCAAUGCCGGAUCCUUAACCCACUGAGCAAGGCCAGGGGUCGAACCUGCAUCUUCAUGGAUACUAGUUAGAUUCGUUAACUGCUGAGCCACGAUGGGAACUCUGUGACUUUUUUAAUGGUUCUGAGGCUGAACUGAUGUUCUGUGAGGAAGUGUGAGAUUUCGAGAAGCGCAUUGACUUUAAAAAUGCAACGUAAUGAUUGGGUGGCUAUGCAAGCAGGAAAUCAUUUAAUUUUGGGACACUCUCUCUGAAGACCGUAAUCAUUCAGAUGGGUUUGAGCUGUCUCUGUCAUGUAGCAGUAAGUUCAGAGAUUUCUUUCCUGGGUGACUUUGAACUCUGUCUUUAGUGGUUUUAGUACAUCAUGUUGAAGUGUGAGGUAAAAAUUAUUGAAAAAAACGUUAGUGAUAUUUGUACCUGUUGUAGUGAAAGGUUAGAAUCUUCCUUCAAUUAGGAUGAGGAUACAGCAGGAUAUGAACAGGCCCAUUUGCAGGGUCAGGCUUUGGGGCCAGGAGACAGCAAGAUUCAGGUUAAGAGGGAUUUGGAAUUUAUAACUACAGUUGCUUGGAAACCAGGACGUCAGGAAGCACCAAGGAAGAUGCAAGUUUCAAAGAUCAAGGGAGGAUAGAACCUAGAAUUCAACAGGUCAGAAGAUCUGAAAAAGUGGUUCUCCCAAACUGGGCAGGGACUGUCCAUCUCAGCCCCUGUUUUAUUUUUUGCUGAUGCUGCCUGCCACAGUCCUACAGUUGAAUCUGGGACAUGCCAAUGCACCUUGUUUUUCUAGUGUCAUCAGAAUUUUCGCCAACAUAUAGCUUGAAGGUAUUUCAAAUAUAUUUUAAGCAUUAUUGCAUUCAGCUGACUUUUUAAAAGCACAAAGUGGUAAAGUAAUAUUUCUAUCUACAUAUUGGUCAUUAGAUUUAAGAGCACUUUAUGUUUUUAUAGACGACCUUAUCAUGUGUACUGCUAAUUUCAAUGCUGUUCCCGGAUUCACAUUUAUAUAGCUGUCACUGGAUGUACCGUUUGUAUUUUUCCCAGCACAAAUAUCACCUUUAUUAUUUUAAAAAAUUGUUAAGGAAUAGGUAUAAUUGUCAGUUUUUUAUGGAUGCAUCAUUGUUUUACAAUAUCAUACUAGUUACAGGUGUUGUUACUGCUUUCUCUGCAGGGGCUGAAAUGUACAUUGCGGUGGUUGUUUUUUAAUAUACAGCUGGUCCGCCAACACACCCAUCUAAUUUUUUGACUCGGUUUGGCUUGGCUUGAUAAUCAAACCCCAAAUGGCAAUAAGGAUUAAAUCACUUCAGCCCAUUUAUUACAUUCUUAUUUAUGAGGUCGUUGGCCUAACACAAGCAGUUUCUGUGUUUUAUUUCAUAUCCCAGGGCCAGGCUACUCUUCACAGAUUCCAGAUGGUAUAACGGUAGACUUCAAGACCAGUGCUUUCUGGUUCCUAGGCUUUUCUGGUUUCUGAGGGGCACUUUAGGAUUAUGGAAGUGGUUCUAGAAAAACACCACCACUUGUCAAAAUCUCUUUGGCAGACACUCUAAGCUCUCUUUGUAGGUACCUUAUCUAAAAACAUUCCUUUGCUGGCAAGUGUUGAGGUCAUCCUGUUCCACAAAUGGCAAGGCAGGGAGACCUACUGGCUUUCCGUUGGCAAAGGAUGGGUGGUUAGAGAUUUUUCCAGUAACAUAGGGAUUUAUGAUUACUCAUCCGUCUUCCUACACUCAGUCUCCUUAGUGACAGAGGCACACAUGCUGUGUUGUAAUAUUUGACUCCUGGACGCCUGUUCCCACUUUGCAAAUACAAUUUUGACUUGACCACAACAGCAAGUCUUACUAAAACAUUUUCCAUUUUAGGACAAUUAUCUUUAUUUAUUAAAGUAAUAAAAAUAUAAAUGAAAAAAAUAAAUGGGGUUCCAAUUAGCUCCCACAUCCCUGGAAAUGAAAGUGGAAAAUUUUUUGUUUAUCUGUGUCCAAGAGAAAUUAAGAGCAGUGCUAUAUUGGUGCUAUAGAUAAGAACAUAAGUAAUCUCAGAUCCCUGGGGAAAUCAUUGCUCUUCAGACUGAGACACUUCAGCAUUACUCCAAGUAGGAGUCUGCCUCUUCUCUUCAUGCCAUUCCUUGUACCUGAAACAUAUUACAGGAACUGAAACUGGAACUGGAGGGCUUGAGAGAGCGUCUUAGACUUGGAACUUCUUGAGGGCAGAUACUCAAGGAUCCGUCUUAUCUCUGUAAACCUUUGCAGUACCUAUAGCUGCAUUAUGUUCAUGGUAGGGGGAAAGAUUCCAUAAGCUGUACUUGCUAACUUGCUGAGUUUCUGCAGUCUUGUGAGCUGCUUUAAAUCCCUUCUGGAACCAGUGUCAGUAGUAUGUCCUCACUUAAAAACUAUUCCAGGGAAGAACUUUCUUAACCUCUUGAGUAUACUUACCUAAGUAUUAGAGAUUUUUCUUUUUUUACGUGAUGAAAGGCAUACUAAAGAGAGCUUACCUUUGGGAAUCUUACCCAUUUGUUGUAAAGAGAAGAUUUCACCCUUUUGCAAACUCAAUAAUCCAUGUAAAAUAAUCUAUUGAGACUUUGAUGCCACGAGAAGUCAAGUCAUGGACAAGAAAGCACAUCACCCUAUUACGUGCCCAAUGGUCUGGGAAGGCUUCUUCCUGCAGGGAGUUGAGCUGAAUCUCCAUGGAUUGGAUGGAUUUGGAAAAGAGGCGUGUGAGGAGGGCCUCCCAGAGAAGGAGGAUAAGGGGAGCAAAGUAUGAGAGUUGGGGAGAUUAGAGGGAGUGUUUAGGAGAAACCAAAGACCAGUUUGACUAGCAUGGUGACUUUGGGAGAAUGAGAUAUUAUAGAUAAGGCUGGAAAAGUGGGUGAGGAAUACAUGGCACAGAACCAUGAAUAUAAGCUUAUGCAGUUUGGACUUUGCUGUGUAAACAAAAAAUCAUUUGGAAGGUUUUUGAGCAAAGGAGUGACACAAUCUCGGUGGUAUUUUUGGAAGAUUUGAUUGCAGAGCCAGGUACAGGGUGCAUUAAAUUCGCUGACAGGAGAUUGGACAGGAAGACCAGUUAGGGUUACUGAAUCCACCUAUUAAAGUCUCAAGGCCCUGAAAUUGGGAGUUAGUGAUGAAAAUACAAAGGAAGAAUUAGAUACCAAACACAUCUUGCUGAAGUAUGACAGCAGCAGCGCCUUUGCUUCUGAUACAGGUGGUAUUGGGCAGAAAUACCUGAUCUGUUAGUUAUUGGGAACAAACAAGUCCUUUAUCGAAUUAAAAGGAAACUGAAUUUGGAUAUUGCAAAUCAGUUUUCCCACGCAUCACUUGUGUUCUUUGGGUACUUGUGACCUCUCCAAGUUUUUCUCAACAGGUUCCAGUUCACUGUAUAAAUAAUUAGUUUCAGCCCAGCAUGCUACAAGAAGGGUGCCUUUUAAAUUGUUUAGUACAGCUGAUUAAAUUAAUUCCAGAGACUAAAUUUUAGAUCUUCAAAGAGCAUGUUUUCGCUUGGGGUAAAACAUUACCGUGGCUGAAUUACAUAUUAUCAAGCUGCAUGAGCUGUGGGCUACAAUAUUUUUGUUUUAAAGGGCAAUUUUUUGGCCCCAGCUUAGUGUUGCUAGACAAUUCAGUCAAAGGAUCCGGAAUAGUUACAGUUUUCCCUAAAGCCCUUAUUUAGGGCUCUCUUUCCUCAUUCUCCACCCUCGUCCCAUCACCUCUCUCACUCACACGUUGCCUGGCACUCCAAAUCUUCCUAAAAUUUGUCACUCCUUGCUCAAAAGCCUUCUCAAUGGUUUCGCUUAUGUAACAAAGUCCAAACUCCAUUACCUUAUUCCUGGUCCUCCACACAGGCUCCUAAUCCAUUUUAGGGAUUCAUACAUAGAAUCAAUGAUUCUAGCAUGCUCUUAAUUAUUAUAUUUAUACUAAAUGAGCACACUAAUGUAGACUAGGGAAUCUGAACAUGAUGCUAGGCUGUAUCAUCUGAAUUUCAGUUGGAGCCCAUGCCAAUGUAAAAAAUUCACUUUCAUAUUUUGGUAGAGCUGCUGGCCUAAGCCACAGCCACAGCAAUGCAGGAUCCAAGCCGAGUGUGCGAACUACACCACAGCUAACAGCAAUGCCAGAUACCCCACCACUGAGUGAGGCCAGGGAUCGAACCCGCAUCCUCAUGGAUACUAGUCGGAUUUGUUUCUGCUGCACCACAACAGGAACUCCCAUAUUUUGACUUUUAAAUUUCAGUGUUUUAUUUAACUACUUGGUCAUAGAGAUUUCCAUAUAUGAAAUUAAUCAACAUAGUUGUCCCUGUCAGUGACUCUGACUUUUAAAAAAUUAAUUCAUUAAGAGUUCCUGCUGUGGUGCAGUGGAUUAAUGAUCUGGCUUGUCUCUGUGGCAUUACCCAUUUGAUCCCUGGCUGGGAGCAGUGGGUUAAGGAUCUGGCAUUGCCACAAUUGUGGCAUAGGUCACAGAUGUGGCUUGGAUUUGAUCCCUGGCCCGGGAACUAACAUUUGCUGCUGGUGCCGCCUAAGAAAAGAAAAAUAAAUAAUUCCAUAAAAAUUAAUUCGUUAAUAUAUAGCUUUUUUUUCCUAAAAGUAAUUUAAGGCAGUUUAUGGUGAUAUAUAAAAUAUGCCAAGGUAUAAUUAAAAAUAGGUGAGAUAGGAGUUCCCGUCGUGGCUCAGUGGUUAACGAAUCUGACUAGGAACCAUGAGGUUUCGGAUUCAAUCCCUGGCCGCAAUCAGUGGGUUAAGGAUCUGGCUUUGCUGUGAGCUGUGGUGUAGGUGGCAGACGCGGCUCAGAUCCCGCGUUGCUGUGGCUGUGGUGUAGGCCAGUAACUACAGCUCCAAUUUGACCCCUAGCCUGGGAACCUCCAUAUGCUGUGGG
rnacentral:lncRNA from 1 species